UUCAACAUCCAUUUCAUAGUGGGACGUGUGGCUUUGAUUAAUAUUACCAUAAAGACUGCCUAAAAUGGGUGUGGUACGGAAACCCAGAAAUGGCAUGAGUUCAACAUCAAACAUGGAUUAGAUUUUAGCGGGGGAUCAAGUCAAGUCUGGAAGUGUUACAGGAUGGAAGAGUGAGCCUACAGUUGAAAAAACACAGAGUGCAUUACCAUUAAGAGUGUUGGUGAAGCUGGGUACUUAAAUGGCCCUAAAGAUGUUUCACUUCGCUGGCAUUGCAGCGAUGAACAUCAUACAUGGACUCUUUAGGAAAGGAUUUUCAGCAUACUGGGAACACAACUAUCAACAAUGCAACAUUCUAGGGGUGCUAUUUUAUCAUUCAAGAGCCUUAUACAAUGAUUUUCAUCUGCAAUUUGUAUGGCCUUUCCCAAGCUUCUGCCAGAAGUUGAAUCUAUAAGUCAUGUAAGUCACAUGAGCAACAAUUGAGAUGCUUAAUGGUGUUGUUUUUCUUUUCUCAGCAUAGGUUAAUAGUAACAUUGGAUCUGAAAAGAUUCUUGGUUGGGGCAAGACACUGAAUAAAUUGUAAUGAUUGAAUGGAUGACAUGACAUUUCUAUACUUAAUCUGGAUUCCCGAGACGGUAUUUUAUAUUUAAAAAAUUGAAGUGCAUAUCUGGGCUCCCUUCCUUUCCGUAGCCCCGUUUCCCCUUGACUCGUAAUAAGCCCGUAGGGGGUCAUGCCCCUACUGUACGGUAUAUAUAAAAAUAACAUAUACCGAGGUUUGGAGGGCUCUGGCCGGAAAGGGGACGUGGGGGUCCGCUUAGUCCGAUGAUGUGUUCACGGAGGGCUAUGUGGCUUCCCACAAAUCCGAACUAAAGGUUAAUCGCUCCUGUAAAAAUGUUCCAAAUCUUCAGCUCUUCUUCCGGCUUCUCUUAGCCAAUCACCGGGUAAUCUCCCCGGUGGGUCAACAAGGCAGUGUCUCCCCCUGCCUGGGUUGACGGCAACUUUUGAAAGGGCUAUUGUGCCUUUUUAAAGUUGCAAAAAUAAUUGUAGUGU